rnacentral:lncRNA from 1 species
UUCAAUGUUUUAUUUUUGACUGCAGCUGUUUACAGAAAUAUAGUUGCGAGUAUACAAAUGUUCCAAUAGAAGCAAAAUAUCUUUUUAAUAUUUAACAAGUUAUCACAGAUAGCUAAAAACAUAGAUGCAAAUGAAAUUCCCCCACAGAACAAACUGAAAAUAUCUGGUGUCAGUGCUCUGAAAUCCCAACUAUGAAAGCCAUAUACACAAAAAUGUAAUCCUUAUAUCAUUGCAGGACAAUGGAAGAAGGCAGUUCAGUGGUUGACCAAUGUGCUCAAGCAAAAUACAAUUAAAAAACUUAAAUGGCAGAAUGGUAGCUAAAGCACUCGAGAAAAGGUUAAUGAAAUAUCUGCAGUAUGUUAAUUAAAAGACUAAGUAAAAGAAGUAAAUAAAACUCAGUAAAAGUUGACCGAAAAAAGUAGGAAUUACUUGGAGCUUACCAAUUAGAAGGGAACAAGGUGAGCAGAUACAUUCAUUAGCUCAAAAGAAAUUAGCUCAAUGUCACUGGAAUCAGCUUGUAGCUACUAAAGGCAUAAACACUUUAGUGCAAGACAGUUCUUAAUUGGACACAUUAGGCUGAUUCCAAAGCCAAUCUCAAACAUCUGAGAUGGUGUGUAUGUGUGUGUUGUCCUGAGGUUCAUUAGCUAAAAUAAUAAGCAACCCUAUAUAAACUAUUUCAAACUAUUUCAAAUUACUUCUGGGGAAAAAAAGAGAGCAAGGAUGAUAUGGUUAAACACGGGGCUUUUAAAAGAAAAGAAACACUCUAAGUUGGAGUCAAAUAGAAUUGUGGUAGAAUUCUUUGGAUACAGGAAUAUAUUACGCAAUAAAGUGGGGAAGAGGUGGGAAGGGAACAAGAAAGGAGGAAUGUACCUAGAGCAUCUCCCCACAGUUUGCCUAUGUACUGCCAGCACCAAGGUUUGUAGAGUAAGCCACUUAUAUUUCCACUGCUAGUAUUAAGCAAAGACAGCAGUGGUGACUUUUAUAAAAUUUUAUUUUAUUUUUAUUUUGAAUGUGCAUUUUUCUUCCAUGAGUUGAUUAAUUGGGUGAUUUGUAAACAGUGGAAGGAAGAUUACAGCAAUUAUGGAGGUGCUGAAUUACACAUGGAGACUAAAAUGAAUGGAUAAAUCUACUUAUCUUGUUAGUUUAUAUUUACCAUGAAGCAUACGAUUGAGAAGGGAGAAAUGCCCAGAUUAUAUAAUGCACUAUCUUGUCCAAUAUUUAUUUUAGUAAAUAAUGCUUGUCUGAAGUAUAAGUUCUGAGAACAGCUAUAUCUCUACUGCAUCAGUUCUCAUACAAACCAAGCUACUUUUAAAUAAGUUUUAUCUAUUUAAAAAAAGAAAUUAAAUAAAUAAGGUGCUUUGUGACCUGGCUAGCCAUCUUGUUUAAUAUCUCAGAUACAAAUCUAAAUACAAGGAAUGAUGUUCUGAAAGUUGGUCUAGCCAGACCAAAAUUGUGGUCUGCUGGUAAAGUAAGAGGCAAUGAAAAGAAAGCUUGUAUUAUCACUGCCCACAAUGUACCCAUUUCAUGGAUAAACAGGAGACUUUAGCACCCGUCAAUUGUUUUAGCUAUUUAAAUAUCUUAACAAUUUAAAGAAAUAUAGAAGAUUGCACCUAUGUAUUUAAAUCAGUCAUUUAAUGUAAACUUUUUUAGUAAAUGGUAGGAAAAUGCCAAACUAAGUUAACUGAAUUAUCAAUAACUAAAUUAUUUAUGUACACAAAACAUAUUAUAUUUCUACAGGCAGUACUAAGAAUAAAUUAACAUUGCCAAUAAAUGAUUAUGGAUAACCGGGUUAAGCUGAAUUUACAUAAAGAACAAUAUAUAUAACUAUUUGUAUGAAUUGGGGGAAAACCUUUCUAGAUUUUACUGUAUAACAUUUAUACCAGUGGUUUUCAAAUUGAGCAUACAUCAGAAUCACCUGGAGGGCUUGUUAAAACACAAGAUUGCUAGGCCCCAUGCCAGAGUUUCUAAUUCAGUAUGUCUAUGAUAGGGCCCAAAAUGUGCAUUUCUAACUAGAUCCCAAGUGAUACAGAUGUUGGCUGGUGGGCUGAGGACCAUACUUUGAAAACCACUGGUUUACACUAUUUAUGUAGAAACUAUAUACUACAACGUUUUUAUAAACAUGACAUAAAAAAAUACUGGAAGAAAGCUGGUUUUAAUUAAGUCUCAAACAUAUAGAUUAGCAAGCUGAACAUUUAAUAUUUCUAAAAUGAUUUGCUGAAGUGUAAUCAUUUCUUCACAUAGUCAAAGUCUUAAGUCCUACUAUAGUCCUACUAUAUAUAGUCCUACUAUAGUCAUUUUAGAAAAUAUUCAUAUAACACAUUUGGAUAGCUGGCUAUCCAAAAUAAAAAGGGACAUAAAUAGUUAAAAUGUAUUUAUUAAGAAGGAAUCAUCACUAUACAGCAUUCUUGACUUCUUUGGAAUGAUUAAAGUGCAUAAUAUCAUUAGGGUAUUAAGAAUAUUGCAUAAAAGGUUUGCAGUCUUCAGAGCCACUAAGUAAAAGAAAUACAUAGGGAAAACAGCUCUAUGCCAAAGCUACUGCUCUCCUGCCCUCUUGUUAGGCACCCACCACUGCAGUAAGGAACUAGAACUAGAAUGGAGGCAAAAUUGACAAAAACCAGAGGGACACUUAAUCCAACUGUAUCUUGUUGGAAGGAAUCAUUAUCUUAGUCCUAGAGGGAUUCCAAUAUAACUACUUUAUUUCCUUGGACACUAUUUUUCAUAAAGAUUACGAAGGUUCUGACAGACAAGAGGAGCACUACAAUGAAUUACAUGGCCUUGUCUAGUUAGAAAAGUUGACAUUACCAGGUUUUACCUAAACUAUGUUAGUGAUUUUCAUCCGUCUAGUAAGAUCAGAGAAGAUGCUUUAAAUACUUCCUUCCUGAAAUUUAACUACAAACAUUUGUGUACAUGGAGUCUCACAGAUAAUAAAAUUUUCAUUAGCAUUCAGAUAGGACCUAUCAUUACUUGGUCAAGAUGAAGACAUAUGUAGAUAAUUUAUAUAAAGCCCAAACAGUGUAAUUCUAUAAUCUAUUACCCUCCCUCAGAGGAACAAUUCUAGCAAUGUAACUUCUCUGUUACUCUAAGCCAAAGGGAGAAUCCUAGGGAAGUUACUUUCUAUGAUGAAUGAAAAAUAGAGAAAAGAAUGGACUAAAUGAAAAAAUUGAAGUUGGGGCCUAGCGAAAUCAUUUGUGUAUUUGUUUUUGGCAACAGUGUAAAAUGAAAUUACAAGAAAGGGGCACUCUCAUGGUAAAAAGGCACUUUUCCAUAAGCAUUUGAUCUAGAUAUAAAAUAUUAUUUAAAAAAAACUUCCUGAAAGAGAAAGUGGAAUAAAGAUACAAUUUUAUUAAUGAAGGAGGCUAGAAUGGCAUGAAAUCAAGGGGGAUUAAAUACGUGAUUAGAGCACUGGGACAAUUCACACAAGUGACAUUGUAGAUGUUACUCUGAUAUUUACUGCAUUAUGAAUACAAAUUAUGUCCAUGACUUAGUUCUAGUGACACAAAUAAGCAGAAGAGAAAACUUCUUUUUAGUAUGUAACAAGAUUCUACUAACCUAACUUACUAGGGCUAUGUACUCUGAGUUAUUUUUCUAAUAAAGCUGAUCUAUACAGUCUCCCCACUGAGUCCCUCCUUAUAACCAAAUGUGUGCAUAUACAACAUGGCUGCACUGGGUAGGGAUGAAGCCUGUGGUCACGAAGUAAAGCUAACAGGCCUCACAUAAUUUUCAAUGAAUUAGAAAAAAAUUCAAUUAGGAACCAGGUAUUAGAACAGAAAUUUUCAUCAGAACAAUGAAAAAUUCUCAAAUUACUCCUAGUAUUUAUAAGCCAUGUUUAAUUUGAGGCUUUGAUUAUUAUAGCAUUUAACUCUAGUCUUUAAUUACUGAUCUGUCUAAAACAUUUAACUUUUCCAAAACAACUGUCCAAAACAGUUUAAAUGGUCAAAAGGAAUCAUUAUCUUAGUCCUAGAGGGACUCUGAUACAAAUUCUUUCUCAUUUCCUUUGACACUAUUUUUCUAGGCAGAUUAGCUGAAGUUCUGAUGGACAAAAAAUGCACUAUAAUGAACUUCUCAACUAUAGCAUAUACAGUAUUACCAAAAAAGAAAAAAGAAAGGGAGGUCCUUCAUUAAUUCUGCUCUUAUAAUAAAUAGUUCUUUAAAAACCUGUUCUAGGGAGAAUGGCAAAAAUAGAUUUGCACUGACUAAAUAACAGCAUGAUACUCUAAUUACAAAGGUAAUAUGAUAAAGCUCAGUAGCAAAUAUGACUUCUAGUUAUCUUCUCCCACGUUGGUGUGGAUUUAUAAUGGAAUGACAAUAAAGAGUAACACACACAUACACACACACAGAGUAAGUUAGAGAGAGACAGAUAAGCUCCAAGCAUUAAGGUGAGUUGCUAAAAGAAAGAGCAAUUGAAUGUAACAAUAUAAAGGAAUAAAAGAGGUUCAUAGUUUAUUUAGGUCCUUCUGCCAUAAAUAAAUUUAAUAAAUUGUUGCUUCCAAGGCCUUUGCUGGCUCAUGGAGUCUAUCCCAUAUAAUUUGUAACAGUAAUCUGGAAGUUGUAUUAUUAUUAGCACAAGUAUCAACCACUGACCACUGAGCUAACUCUUCAAUAAGAAGACAAAUGUUUUUUGUAACCAAAUAUUCAGAAUGCUGUACUUAACAUUGACCUUUAGGGGUAAGGAACAUUUAACAAUGGUAAAAAAAAAAAAAAAAAAAAAAUCAUUAUCAAAUAAGAAUAUGGUAGCAUAGCACAGCCCUUGUAUAAAUAACCACAAAAUUUAUGAAAAUAAAAAUUGGGUUUUCUGCUCCAUCCAAUCAAGCCACUACAGUUCAGGUGUAUGUUCUGUUCUAAACUUAGAUGCCAUAAAACAGAAAAUUGGUCCCUGGUGACUUGGCAUUGGCAAUCAGCAUUUUACAAUGAUAAGCCUCUGGCUAAACAACAGAACAGAAGUCAGCACACAAGCCAGUCUUCUUGCCACCACUUCAUCCACAGAGCAGUGUUAACAAACAUUCUAAUUGGAACCUGGUGAACAAACAGACUUCCUGAGUCUCCUGUGUAAUCUCUUAGAAAAAAAGUCAGAAAACUCAGAAAUAAACGUAUUUUAUUUCUACUUCCUAUUUUUAUACCUGCUGGGUAAGCUACCUCUUUAUACCUCUGCAGUUAGAG